rnacentral:rRNA from 1 species
AGCAGUGAGGAAUAUUGCGCAAUGGGGGCAACCCUGACGCAGCAACGCCGCGUGAGUGAGGAAGGUUUUCGGACCGUAAAGCUCUGUCGAGUGGGAAGAAAUGUAUCGUGGCUAAUAUCCAUGAUACUUGACGGUACCGCUAAAGGAAGCACCGGCUAACUCCGUGCCAGCAGCCGCGGUAAUACGGGGGGUGCGAGCGUUGUUCGGAAUUAUUGGGCGUAAAGAGCGUGUAGGCGGCUGAAUAAGUCAGAUGUGAAAUCCCUGGGCUUAACCCAGGAAGUGCAUUUGAAACUAUUCAGCUUGAGUAGGGGAGAGGAAAGUGGAAUUCCUGGUGUAGAGGUGAAAUUCGUAGAUAUCAGGAGGAACACCGGUGGCGAAGGCGACUUUCUGGCCCUAUACUGACGCUGAGACGCGAGAGCGUGGGUAGCAAACAGGAUUAGAUACCCUGGUAGUCCACGCUGUAAACGAUGUUCACUAGGUGUUGGGGGUAUUGACCCUCUCAGUGCCGCAGCUAACG